GUGUAACAAUAUAAUCAGGAGAAAAAUCUAUACUUAACACAAAGCAUUCUAAUGCUAUAAGUAGGCUGAUUUUUAAAUUUCUUUGUUCUCCAGGGCCAUGUUCUCCGUCUGUGAAUGCUUUUUUCUCCUCCUAAAAAAAAUCCUGUGCCAUUUUAUCUGAGAUGAUGUCUUAUUCUUUGUUUACGACUUUGGAAAUUAUUAUACCAAGAGGCAUGAAGGAGACAACUUGAGCAAAUACAAAUGGAGAAAACAGACUACGCCACCCCAAGCAAGGAUCUGUACAGUUGAAAUUGGAGCUCAAGAUCCAAAAUAAAAGUCACAGUUCUCUGCAAGUUUUCUUCAUGACCAAAGUUGGGAGAAUUAGCUGCUUCUUCAAAGCACCUUAGAGUCCUCUUAACGAGUGGUAUUCUUUUUUUGCAUUCUAUUUUCUAUUGUGCUUAAU
rnacentral:lncRNA from 1 species